rnacentral:lncRNA from 1 species
GGAAGCUCAUGUUCAUUGGCCUGGAGAUUCAAGUACACACAGAGACACAGAGGCAUUCCAAAAAGGAACGUGAGGGUUUUGUGCAAGGCAUAGGACAGUGAAUAUGCUCGGUGAGGCAUGCAAACACAGCAAAGGAAUGAAGGAGCUGCACAUGGAGUGGUAUGCACUUCUAAACAGCUUUCAGCAGGCCUUGGAUCCACAAACAGCAGGAGACAGCCUUUCUCUAUAAGAAAGGACAGUUGGAGCCCGAAUGUUACUCUGGUAAACAACAGCCUGAGCCAUGUGAGGAAGUGAUUCCCCUUUCAUACAGGACACAAAAAUACUGAUAUUAAACGAAUUAGUAACUUUACAAUGCCCUGUUAAGCGUUCAAAUGAAAGGAAGACUGGCAUUUCUGUCACUUUUAAUUAAAACCUAGAAAUGAUUACUCUUAUUGAGGAAAGCGUGUCAAAAGCCAAGAUAGGAUGAAAGUUAGGUCUCUUGUACCCAACAGUAACAUAACUUUUGAAUGCAAAGAAAAAGUUCUUGGAGGAAAUUAGAAGUGCUACUCCAGUGAAUACAUGGAUGAUAAGAAAGCAAAGCAGCCUCAUUGCUGACAUGGAGAAAGUUGCAGUAAUCUGGGUAGAAGAUCAAAUCAGCCGUAACAUUCUCUUAAGACAAACCAAUCGAGAGCAAGACCCUAACUUUCUUCAAUUCUAUGAAGGCUAAGAGAGGUAAGGAAGCUGCAGAAGAAAAGUUGGAAGCUAGCAGAUUGGUUCAUGAGGUUUAACGAAAGAAGCUGGUUUAAGGAAAGAAGCUAUUUUCAUAACAUAAAAGUACAAGGUGAAGCAGCAAGUGCUGGUGUAGAAGCUACAGCAAGUUAUCCAGAAGAUCUUGCUAACAUUAUUGAUGAAGGAGGUUACACUAAGCAGGUUUUUAAUGUAGAUGAAACAGCC